rnacentral:rRNA from 1 species
CAGCCGCCGCGGUAAUACCGGCGGCCCGAGUGGUGGCCGCUAUUAUUGGGCCUAAAGCGUCCGUAGCCGGGCCCGUAAGUCCCUGGCGAAAUCCCACGGCUCAACCGUGGGGCUUGCUGGGGAUACUGCGGGCCUUGGGACCGGGAGAGGCGGGGGGGACCCCUGGGGUAGGGGUGAAAUCCUAUAAUCCCAGGGGGACCGCCAGUGGCGAAGGCGCCCCGCUGGAACGGGUCCGACGGUGAGGGACGAAGGCCAGGGGAGCAAACCGGAUUAGAUACCCGGGUAGUCCUGGCGGUAAAGGAUGCGGGCUAGGUGUCGGGUGAGCUUCGGGCUCGCCCGGUGCCGUAGGGAAGCCGUUAAGCCCGCCGCCUGGGGAGUACGGCCGCAAGGCUGAAACUUAAAGGAAUUGGCGGG